rnacentral:rRNA from 1 species
CAGUCGCCGCGGUAAUACGUAGGGUGCAAGCGUUAAUCGGAAUUACUGGCCGUAAAGCGUGCGCAGGCGGUUAUAUAAGUCAGAUGUGAAAUCCCCGGGCUCAACCUGGGAACUGCAUUUGAGGCUGUAUGGCUAGAGUGUGUCAGAGGGGGGUAGAAUUCCACGUGUAGCAGUGAAAUGCGUAGAUAUGUGGAGGAAUACCGAUGGCGAAGGCAGCCCCCUGGGAUAACACUGACGCUCAUGCACGAAAGCGUGGGGAGCAAACAGGAUUAGAUACCCCGGUAGUCCCUGUCUCUUAUAC